GUCUACCGCCACUUCAUCUAGAAUACACCAGAUCUGGCCUAAUCUCGGAAGCUAAGCAGGGUUGGGCCUGGUUAGUACUUGGAUGGGAGACUACCUAGGAAGACCGGAUGCUGUAGGCU
ensembl:rRNA 5S_rRNA 5S ribosomal RNA